GCGUGGAGCAUGUGGCUUAAUUUGACUCAACGCGGGAAAUCUUACCGGGUCCGGACACANUGAGGAUUGACAGGCAAUAUAUGUGACUCUUCGGAGUUUGCAUUGUUAAAUAUGCUAGUCCUUUCAUGAUUAUGUGAUAGGUGGUGCAUGGCCGUUCUUAGUUCGNGGAGUGAUCUGUCUGCUUAAUUGCGUUUCAAAUUACUUAUAAGGUAGCAAUACGCGAUGAAGCUUUCAAUAGUCCUCACGGAUUCACUUGAGUCUCUCGCUUCGCUAUCCUUUCGAAUGCAACGAACGUGACCGCAACCUCUUGUUGCCUUCGUUUAACAUCCUGCAGNUCNCUGUGGGUACUGAGGGCUUCACUCGGUGACUUUGGGCUGAGCAAUCGGUCUUUUGAUCUGAGUAAACUAGAGGGACCGCUGUCAACUUCUUAAACCAGAGGAAGGUNGCGGCAAUAACAGGUCUGUGA
rnacentral:rRNA from 1 species